ensembl:lncRNA
AUGUUUCUGAUUCCUGUGAUACUACUUUUACAACUAGGAUUCCAAGAUGCUAUGAGUGCUGGAAUCCAGCGUGAGAUUCAGAAUGCAAGACUCCAACAGCCGUUUACUUUAAACUGUACCUACAACUGUUCCAGUGGCUUCACUCGUGGUACAUGGACAUGGGAAGCCACUCCAGCUUGUAGCAAGUGCCACUGGGAUCAAAAAAAUUCUAAGUUAGGAGACGUGUGCACUGUGAGCUUGCACAUACCUCAUCUAAUUAUGGAGCAAACACGUUAUAACUAUUCAUGCUUUUCUGAAGAGAGUGACCGCCCGGGCCUUCCUCGUAAAUUGGAGCUUCUGGUAACACUGCAAGUUCAUGCUGAAUCUGAAGGACAAGUAACACCUCCAGAAGCCGAUCCAUCUCUGAGAGUAAAGUUAUAUAGGGGUCAGACAGAUUCAGAUGAGGUGUUUACAUCAUUUUCCACCAUUGAAGUGAUGGCAGGAACCUCAGCCAAACUUCACUGUUUCGCCCCUGACAACAAUCACUGUGAGGUGCAGUGGGUCAGAGAAAACAGUACCCUCCCCUUGACCAAAAUAAGUGACACCAUAGUACAGUGGAGUGAAAUCAAAGCAGAGGAUAGUGGACGAUACAGGUGCCACACCAAAGGGACCUGCACUGACCAGGCUAUCACUGUGGAAAUAGAGGUCAUCACAUCGGGUGAGUGUUUUCACACUUCAAAAAUACAUCAACCCAUUUUCAGAUUCACAUACAACAAAGUCAAUCAAGUCAGCAUUUUGCCAUACAGAUGGAUUCGCCUGGGCCAAGGUCUUUGCAGCUUUUGCGGUGUCUGCAGUAGUUAUCCUGACAGCCCAUCUGGUGUAUUUGUGCUACAGAAAAGGAUGUAAGAUCAUGGAUUCUGCAAACAUAGCCCAUGAAAGGGUUACAUCCAGAAGUGCUGUGGCGAUAAAGCCAAUCGCUCAAGGUCUUUCUCAAUUUAUUAUAAAUAUAAAAAUACAAUAAUAUAUGUAUAUAUACUACCUGUCAAAAGUUUGGAAUAAUUAAAAUUUUUACUGUUUCUGAAAGUCUCUUAUGCUCACCAAGGUUGCAUGUUUUUGAUCAAAGCUACAGUAAAAACAAUAAUAUUGUGAAAUAUUAUUACAAUUUUAAAAUGCUGUUUUCUGUAUUAAACUGCACAACUGUUUUCAACAUUGAUAAUAAUAAGAAAUGUUUAUUGAGCUUGAGCAUCAUAUUAGAAUGAUUUCUGAAGGAUCAUGUGACACUGAAGACUGAAGUAAUGAUGCUGAAAAUUCAGCUUUGACAUCACAGGAAUAAAUUACAAUAUAAUUAUUAAAAUUAAAUUAAA